rnacentral:rRNA from 1 species
UACAGAGGGUGCAAGCGUUGUUCGGAAUUAUUGGGCGUAAAGCGCGUGUAGGCGGCUUGUUAUGUCGGGUGUGAAAGCCCUCAGCUUAACUGAGGAAGUGCGCCCGAAACUGGCGAGCUUGAGUGCCGGAGAGGAUAGCGGAACACCCGGUGUAGAGGUGAAAUUCGUAGAUAUCGGGUAGAACACCAGUGGCGAAGGCGGCUAUCUGGACGGACACUGACGCUGAGGCGCGAAAGCGUGGGGAGCGAACAGG